AUCACUGUUACUGCUCCCACUGGAAGGCUAUUCCAGGUAUCUACUACCCUUUCUGUAUCACUGUUACUGCUUCCACUAGAAGGCUAUUUCAGGUAUCUACUACCCUUUCUAUAUCACUGUUACUGCUCCCACUGGGAGGCUAUUCCAGGUAUCUCCUACCCUUUCUAUAUCACUGUUACUGCUCCCACUGGGAGUCCUUUUCAGG